GUGCACCAGUCGAGAAUUUUUCUCAAUGGGGGCAACCCUGAAGGAGCGACGCCGCGUGGAGGAUGAAGGCUUUCGGGUUGUAAACUCCUGUCAUUUGGGAACAAGUUGGACGCAGUAACUACGCGUCCAUUGAUAGUACCAGAAGAGGAAGGGACGGCUAACUCUGUGCCAGCAGCCGCGGUAAUACAGAGGUCCCAAGCGUUGUUCGGAUUCAUUGGGCGUAAAGGGUGCGUAGGUGGCGCCGUAAGUGGGGUGUGAAAUUUCGGAGCUUAACUCCGAAACUGCAUUCCAUACUGCGGUGCUUGAGGACUGGAGAGGAGACUGGAAUUCAUGGUGUAGCAGUGAAAUGCGUAGAGAUCAUGAGGAAGACCAGUGGCGAAGGCGGGUCUCUGGACAGUUCCUGACACUGAGGCACGAAGGCCAGGGGAGCGAAACGGGAUUAGAUACCCGCGUAGU
rnacentral:rRNA from 1 species